UGGGGAAUAUUGGACAAUGGGCGAAAGCCUGAUCCAGCCAUGCCGCGUGUGUGAAGAAGGUCUUCGGAUUGUAAAGCACUUUAAGUUGGGAGGAAGGGCAGUAAGCGAAUACCUUGCUGUUUUGACGUUACCGACAGAAUAAGCACCGGCUAACUCUGUGCCAGCAGCCGCGGUAAUACAGAGGGUGCAAGCGUUAAUCGGAAUUACUGGGCGUAAAGCGCGCGUAGGUGGUUCGUUAAGUUGAAUGUGAAAGCCCCGGCCUCAACCUGGGAACUGCAUCAAAAACUAGCGAGCUAGAGUGCGGCAGAGGGUGGUGGAAUUUCCUGUGUAGCGGUGAUAUGCGUAGAUAUAGGAAGGAACACCAGUGGCGAAGGCGACCACCUGGGCUCAUACUGACACUGAGGUGCGAAAGCGUGGGGAGCAAACAGG
rnacentral:rRNA from 1 species